rnacentral:rRNA from 1 species
UACGUAGGCAGCAAGCGUUGUUCGGAGUUACUGGGCGUAAAGGGUGCGUAGGUGGCUCUAUAAGUAUGGUGUGAAAUCUCCCGGCUUAACUGGGAGGGUGCGCCGUAGACUGUGGGGCUAGAGUGUGGGAGAGGAAAGUGGAAUUCCUGGUGUAGCGGUGAAAUGCGUAGAGAUGCGGAGGAACACCGAUGGCGAAGGCAGCCCCCCUGGGCUAACACUGACGCUCAGGCACGAAAGCGUGGGGAGCAAACAGG